CUACGGGUUGCUGCAGUGAGGAAUAUUGCACAAUGGGGGGAACCCUGAUGCAGCAACGCCGUGUGGAGGAUGACGCAUUUCGGUGUGUAAACUCCUUUUGUAUGUCAAGAAAAUGACGGUAGCAUAUGAAUAAGCACCGGCUAACUCCGUGCCAGCAGCCGCGGUAAUACGGAGGGUGCAAGCGUUACUCGGAAUCACUGGGCGUAAGGGACGCGUAGGCGGGUUGGAAAGUCAGGUGUGAAAUCCUACAGCUUAACUGUAGAACUGCACUUGAAACUUCUAAUCUAGAGUAUGGGAGGGGGAGAUGGAAUUAGUGGUGUAGGGGUAAAAUCCGUAGAUAUCACUAGGAAUACCUAAAGCGAAGGCGAUCUCCUGGAACAUUACUGACGCUAAGGCGUGAAAGCGUGGGGAGCAAACAGGAUUAAAUACCCCCGUAGUC
rnacentral:rRNA from 1 species